AUGUGGAGGUCAGAGGACAGGCUAUAGAAACUGGAUCUCUCCUCUUCAGAUUCCUGCUGAAGGUCCAAACCCUCGCCCCCCUCAUCCCCUACCCCCGACCCUUAGCAGACAUAACAGGCUUCAAAAGACCCAGCAAGAUGCAGACCCCUGACUCCGGAGGCUGUACUGAGCCCUACCUUGUUCUAGUUACGGGGAAGAAGCUGCCAGAUAAUUUAUGGUAAAGAACCAAUCAGAAGUUAGCUGGCACGCUCUGGCCAUGAUUUUACUGAUAACGGUGGAAUGAAGUAACUGCUCCCACUGUAUGGCCUCCAGGUAUAGCAACCUUUCUGCAGCUGACAGUUUCCAUAAAUACCCCCACCCCACUGCAGCCAGGGUCUCUCCUGUUCCACUGAUGCAUUGGACAGACUAGAGGCCUGGGUUCAAAGGUCAUAAUUAAAAAAUAAUCUUUGCUUUGCUUUUGCAUCGGAUCUGUUAUGUCCGAAAUUCAGAAUCGGAAUCACUACUACCAGACCAACUCCAAUGCAAGAACCAAGAGUCUUUAUUCAAGUUGGCUCCUAGCAAGCACUCUGUUUCCUCCGAGAAGACAUAAGACAAACCAUCACUGACCACCGUCCAUCUGCAGUUUGCUUCGACUGCCAAGCGCUGACCAUUGGGCAAAAAACUGCCUUUCACCUAAACUGGAGACCUCCAAAUGUGGACAAAAUCACUGGAAUCGACAGUCUAGCUGCCCAGGGUCAAGGUACAAGAAACACCAUACAUUUCCAUGCCACAGACACCUGACUUGUCGGGAGCAGAGACCAACUAUGCCAAGAUGUGACCAGCACACAGCCUUCUCUCGGAUCCCCCACAACCCCCCCCAAAGACGACACCCACAAAUCAGCCGGAAGCAGCUUGAGAAUUCACCGCCCCAAUUCCUUCAACCUGUAAUGUCUAACCUUCUACUUUUUAUUAUAAAAAGGAUCCGGGAAGGUUAGUCUUUAAGAACUAACUACGCCCACCCCAGCCACUUCUGACCCCACCUCCCCUCGCUGCCAUCUUCUCUCUCGUGUGUGUGUGUGUGUGUGUGUGUGUGUGCGUGU